GUCUAUGGCCAUACCCCACCCUGAACGUGCCGGGAUCGUGUCUGAACUCGGAAGCUAAGCAGGGUCGGGCCUGGUUAGGACUUGGAUGGGAGAAGAAUCAGGAAGCCGCAGUGA
ensembl:rRNA 5S_rRNA 5S ribosomal RNA